GUCUCCUGUCUGUGUUCAUAUUUGCUACUUGAUAUUUUUGUGUAAGCCUUAUAGCUAUUCCAAUAAGACUCCCUAAUAAAAAGAACAUGGUUAUAUAAAAUUAGAGCAAGUUUGUUAAACAUGCUUUCUAUCUGGCUUUAGUACUUUCAUUUGAAUUCAUUUUCAUCAAAUAAAUCAUACAAUAGUUGCCAUCGGAUUUGCACUCCAACAUUUGCAUUGUUCAAGCUUAAAGCUAUACUCACUUUACACACUCAUUUGCUGUUUGAAGCUCCCAAUACGAUACUGUUAUUGGUGGUUAGCCGCCAUUGAUUUUUAGCAAAUUAUGGAGAAACACUGUUCCCAUGUUGAUAUAAGGUUGUGGAUUGAAGUGAUUUGUAUGAUAUUAUACCAUAAUCAUGGUGCUAUAUGUUUUGUCUAACCUUUCUAUUUGCUUUGUGUUGAUAUGUUGUUACACAUGCCGAUAACGUUGAAACAUGUACAUGUGCUAAUAAAAUUCUUUGGUGUGCCGCAAAUUUAGGAUAUGUAUAAUUGAACUUUAGAACCUGAUAUGAUCCCCCCCCCCCCCCCAAAAAAAAAAUAAAAAUAAAUAAAUAAAUAAA